rnacentral:rRNA from 1 species
CAAGGAUUCCCCUAGUAACGGCGAGUGAAGCGGGAAGAGCUCAAAUUUAAAUCUGGCAGUGUAUUCUGUCCGAGUUGUAGUCUAGAGAAGCAUCAUCCGUGCUGGACCAUGUACAAGUCUCUUGAACAGAGCGUCAUAGAGGGUGAGAAUCCCGUCCUUGACAUGGACUCCCAGAUCUUUGUGUGCUCUCAACGAGUCGAGUUGUUUGGGAAUGCAUGCUCAAAAUGGGUGGUAAAUUCCAUCUAAAGCUAAAUAUUGGCGAGAGACCGAUAGCGAACAAGUACCGUGAGGGAAAGAUGAAAAGCACUUUGGAGAGAGAGUUAAACAGUACGUGAAAUUGUUGAAAUGGAAACGCUUGAAGUCAGUCGCGUUCUCUGGGAUUCAGCCUUGCUUCUGCUUGGUGCAUUUCCUAGUCUACGGGCCAGCAUGAAUUUCGACCGGUGGAAAAAGAUUUGGGGAAUGUGGCACUUCGGGUGUGUUAUAGCCCCUUGUCAGAUACAUUGGUUGGGAUUGAGGUCUUAGUGCACGCUUCGGUUGUGCUUUGAUGCUGGCGUAAUGGCUUUAAACGACCCGUCUUGAAACACGGACCAAGGAGUCUAACAUGUCUGCGAGUGUUUGGGUGGAAAACCCGAGCGCGAAAUGAAAG